AGCCCCAAUAUGUCAUUUGUCUUCCCAUUGACAGCCAGGGUUGAUUCAGCUGAUCUGGCUGGCUAGAUGGGUGGCUCCUUCCUCCCCCACUGCUCCAUGUGCGUCCUUCCCAAAGCUGUGUGCUCAGUGAAAGAGGAAGACCUUUCCCAGAGUAGAGCUGGGACUGAACUUCAGUCAAGGGUAUAUGAGUAACUGAGCUCCCCUGCUAGGACCUCCAAACUAGUUCACAAGGUCCUAAGUAUGGCUGCUCUAAGCAGCUCUAGACUUCAGUCCAAGAGGAAAAAGACAGAGUCAGGUGGCACAAAGCACAAGGACCAGCGUAAGGAGCCUGGU
rnacentral:snRNA from 1 species